rnacentral:lncRNA from 10 species
AUGGCUGGGGACAGGGUGGGGUCCUUUCUGAUGAUCCUUGUCUGCUGGCCUGCAGCAGCCUGCUGUAAACUCAAGCGCAGGCAGAAAGAGGUGGGAGCCUUGUCCCAGCUCUCUCCACCUCCUCCCCAGGCAGGACAGGAACAGUUCUUGCCCAAGGUCCCUCCAGCUACAGGGGAGUUCCCAGCCACGCCUUGGUCUCCCUGGGCCACUCAUAUUCACCUUGCACUUUGCGGAUUAAAAUGA